rnacentral:lncRNA from 1 species
ACUUACAUUGCAAACGUAUGCUUUUUUUUUUGAGGAAUCAAUUGAUGAUGCGACAGAAGUCAUGGUAGCUUCAAUUAUAUUUUCGUCAGAGAAUAUGUUGUCAAAAGUGGAAAACAAAGUUAUUCGGCUAUCAAGGCUAUCAAGGAGGAAGAAAACAUAACUAUUACACACUGGUGUAAUUGGCGUGUCUCGGUUUUGGUUGGACUUUUAUUCAUCAUACACACGUUACAUCUAAACAUUUUGUUUAACAUGAUGAACUUAUUUUGUAUUUAUCACAAGUGGUC